rnacentral:rRNA from 1 species
CAAUAGCGUAUAUUAAAGUUGUUGCGGUUAAAAAGCUCGUAGUUGGAUUUCUGCUGAGAACGACCGGUCCGCCCUUUGGGUGUGUAUCUGGCUCUUUCUUGGCAUCUUCUUGGUGAACGUUGCUGCACUUGACUGUGUGGAGCGCUACCCAGGACUUUUACUUUGAGGAAAUUAGAGUGUUUCAAGCAGGCAUACGCCUUGAAUACAUUAGCAUGGAAUAAUAAGAUAGGACCUCGGUUCUAUUUUGUUGGUUUCUAGAGCUGAGGUAAUGAUUAAUAGGGAUAGUUGGGGGCAUUCGUAUUUAACUGUCAGAGGUGAAAUUCUUGGAUUUACGGAAGACGAACAUCUGCGAAAGCAUUUGCCAAGGAUGUUUUCAUUG